rnacentral:tRNA from 1 species
GUGGGCGUAGCUCAGUUGGCAGAGCUCCGGACUGUGAUUCCGGCGGCCGUGGGUUCAAGCCCCAUCACCCACCCCA